rnacentral:ncRNA from 1 species
AAAGUUUAAUUUUAGCUUAUAAUUUAUUAUAUUUAUAUUUUACAUGUAAAUUUUUGUGUGAAUAAUAAAGUUCUUAAUGAUAAAAUUUAUUAGUCGCAGUAUUUAAUAUUAAUAAUGAAAGAAAUUUUGAAUUAGUAAUAAAUUUUAUUAUAAGAUAAAUUUGUGCCAGCAUCUGCGGUUAUACAAAUUAUAAAAGUAAAUAUUAUUAGUAAUAGUUAAAUGAAAAGUUAUAAUUUUAAUAAUUUAAUUUUUAGGUUAAAUUAAAAUUUAAAUUUAAUAUAUUAUAAAUUAUUUUUGAAGCUAAUAAAAUUUUAAUAUAAACUAGGAUUAGAUACCCUAUUAUUGAAAUUAAAUUUAUAAAUACUAAGGUAGUAAUAGUUAUAUUCUUGAAACUUAAAAAAUUUGGCGGUAUUUUAGUCUAUUUAGAGGAACCUGUUCUGUAAUUGAUAAUCCACGAUAUAUUUUACUAAAAUUUAUCUAAUUUGUAUACCAUCGUUAUCAGAAUAUUUUAUAAGAAUUAAAUAUUCAAAUAAUAUAAUUUUAUUAUAUUUCAGAUCAAGGUGCAGUUAAUAUUUUAGAAGAAAUGGGUUACAAUAAAUUUAUUUAAAUGGAUUAAUAAUUGAAAUAUUAUUAUGAAAGUGGAUUUAAUAGUAAAUAAAAAUAUAUUUUUUUAUUGAUUUUAGCUCUAAAAUAUGUACAUAUCGCCCGUCGCUCUUUUUUUUAAUAAAGAUAAGUCGUAACAUAGUAGAUGUACUGGAAAGUGUAUCUAGAAUG